GAUGAACGCUGGCGGCGUGCCUAAUACAUGCAAGUCGAGCGAACGGACGAGAAGCUUGCUUCUCUGAUGUUAGCGGCGGACGUGUGAGUAACACGUGGAUAACCUACCUAUAAGACUGGGAUAACUUCGGGAAACCGGAGCUAAUACCGGAUAAUAUUUUGAACCGCAUGGUUCAAAAGUUAAGGACGGUCUUGCUGUCACUUCUAGAUGUAUCCGCGCUGCAUUAGCUAGUUGGUAAGGUAACGGCUUACCAAGGCAGCGAUGCAUAGCCGACCUGAUAGGGUGAUCGGCCCCACUGGAACUGAGACACGGCCCAGACUCCUACGGGAGGCAGCAGUAGGGAAUCUUCCGCAAUGGGCGAAAGCCUGACGGAGCAACGCAGCGUGAGUGAUGAAGGUCUGCGGAUCGUAAAACUCUGUUAUUAGGGAAGAACAUAUGUGUAAGUAACUGUGCACAUCGUGACGGUACCUAAUCAGAAAGCAACGGCUAACUACGUG
rnacentral:rRNA from 1 species